rnacentral:rRNA from 1 species
UACGUAGGGUGCGAGCGUUAAUCGGAAUUACUGGGCGUAAAGCGUGCGCAGGCGGUUUGUAAGCCAGAUGUGAAAUCCCCGGGCUUAACCUGGGAAUGGCAUUUGGGGACUGCAAGGCUUGAGUGCGGCAGAGGAGACUGGAAUUCCUGGUGUAGCAGUGAAAUGCGUAGAUAUGCGGAGGAACACCGAUGGCGAAGGCAAUCCCCGUGGGCCUGUACUGACGCUCAUGCACGAAAGCGUGGGGAGCAAACAGG